rnacentral:rRNA from 1 species
AUGGCCCUCUCGUCCAUCUCUUCCACCCCAUCCCCAUCUUCUCCGAUGCCGACCUCGGCAAGCAUGCCGGCGACGCAUCUCCUGCCCCCUCCUCUACGCAUUAGUCCCAGCGCCCAACAUCUCCACUCCCCCUCCUCCUCGCCAUCUCCUCCACCCCCUUCCCCGUCUCCUGCCGCUGACUGCCGCCGGCCAUGUGUUGCUUCCUUGGCGGCGGCGCUUCCGCAUAGUCCUCCUCCUCCUUCCCCACUGUUACUGAAGCGCCCCAUGUGGAGGUACUAUGCUUGGCUACUGCCUCUCCUUCCCAAUCCUCAUCCCUCCCACCCGUGCCGCCUCCAAAAUUCAUUUUUUUUGUUACCCAGAGUUCAAUUCGUUUGUUACCCAGAGUUCAAUUCGUGCGCCCAAGUCGAACUCUCUAGAAGGGACGAGGAUCUAGAAGCCAGUUUUGCAGAGUUGCAGUCCAAUAUAAAUCAAAUGGGUAGGCAGAUGGGACUCAAGCUGCUUGCACUACACCUCAAGAGCCACACGCUCGUCACGCCAAUCUGGAGGUGA